ACGGAAGGCAGCAGUGAGGAAUAUUGGUCAAUGGACGAGAGUCUGAACCAGCCAAGUAGCGUGCAGGAUGACGGCCCUAUGGGUUGUAAACUGCUUUUGUACGGGAAUAAAGUGACCUACGUGUAGGUUUUUGCAUGUACCGUAAGAAUAAGGACCGGCUAAUUCCGUGCCAGCAGCCGCGGUAAUACGGAAGGUCCGGGCGUUAUCCGGAUUUAUUGGGUUUAAAGGGUGCGUAGGCGGAUGAUUAAGUCUGUGGUGAAAGCGUGCGGCUCAACCGUACCGAGCCAUGGAAACUGGUUGUCUUGAGUGUAAACGAGGUAGGCGGAAUGUGACAUGUAGCGGUGAAAUGCUUAGAUAUGUCACAGAACUCCGAUUGCGAAGGCAGCUUACCAGCAUACAACUGACGCUGAGGCACGAAAGCGUGGGUAUCAAACAGGAUUAGAUACCCUGGUA
rnacentral:rRNA from 1 species